rnacentral:lncRNA from 1 species
ACUGUUAUGAAGUGUAUCACCCUCCUAAAUUCAUCCAAAGUGAAUGGUUGUCAUUGUCUUCCUUUCAGCUGAUCUCUAACUCAAAGCCACUCUGCUCCAGGUGAAGCCUCUGCCUUCACCUCUGGAUAAGGAUUCCAUACUUGCAUCUUUAAGCUAGUUCGUGGGCAUCUCUACGGAAGCCAUCCGCAGGCAUCUUACAGACACAAGAUCAGGGGAGUACUCCCUACUUGCAGAUGCGCCUAAUGCCAAGCUGCAGCUCUACCUCUGCUUGCUACGGAGGUUUGAUUACUGACUCCUCUCAACUCUUCUACUUCCUCAUUGACAGAAGGGGAAUAAGACAGUGCUGGCUCCCUAGGAUGGUCAAAAGAACUGACAUAAGAUAAUCAGGGAGUGCGUGGUACAUGAUGCAGCUCCCACGGUCUGCCUGCUGCUGCGGAACCCCAUCCCCCUUCACUAGCCCUCCAUCAACAUCACAUCCAUGGAGUCUGUCAAACUGAAUGGGUAACACAGGAACAACAGAUUUGCUUUGCAAUGGAAGUCGCUGGAACCUGAAACAAGAUGUGUUGCUGGCGAUGUAGCUCAAGUAGUUGAAUAUUUGCCUGGAAAACAUAACACAUUGUUCAUAGGCUUCAUUGUUCAACUUUCAGGUUCAAACUUAGUAGUCAAGAAAUGAUCAUUUAAAAAAAAUCUGAUUCAUUUUAGGUAAAAGGAAAAAUUAUCUUGAUUUUGCCCAAUACCUUGAGGAACAUUCUAUCUGAUCAUGAGAUAUCCCUAGGCUCAACUAUAAAACAUUUCUCAUGGCUUUGAGACAGGUGCUUGGGUAAAGCAAGCUGUAUAAACAGCAGCAGUAAAAACAAGCAAAACAGCAAAAUAAAGAACAACAAAGAUAAGAACAACCUGUACAUACCCUGCCCACAGAGAAGACAGUACAACAAGUGAUUGUAGCUGAACUUAGCCACUUUACGGCCAGUGCAAGCAAGCUCUGCCUCCUAGGCUAGGUGACCUUGCUCUAGUUCUGUAUACCUUGGCUUCCUCCGCAUAAAAGGAGAUUAAUGAUAGAAACAACAAUGUACUAAAGAUGAAGUUAGUAAAGGCUGAAGCAGUGACUCAGUUGGCAAAGUCCUUGUCACAUAAGCACAAGGAACUGAGUUUGAUCCCCAGAAUCCAGUUCUAGCACUGGGGUUAGACAUAGGUGGAUGACCUGGGUUUGUAGACCGCCCAGCCUAGCCUUAUCAGAGAGCCAUAGGCCAAAGAGACCCUGUUUCCAAGAAGAGUGAUAUCCAAGGCUGGCCUCUGUCCUGAACACCAGCAUAUGCCCACCUGUGUGUGCACAAGUACAACACACACACACACACACACAAGAUAAAGUUAAUGAAGCUAAAUGUGUGGCUCUUGCCAGUGAUCUAAGCAUCUGGGAGACUUAGACAAGACGAUUGCUACAUGUAUAAAGCCACCUUGGGCUAUAUAGUAAAUUCUGGAACUGCCUGAGCUACUGAUACCACAUCUCAAAUAUAAAAUUAAUAAAUACAUAGUAAUAGUAUUAGCUAUUACUUUAUAUAAGUCAAUUGAAAUAUUUGUACAACGUGAAAAUGAUAUUUGAGAUUGUGGC